AUUGAACGCUGGCGGCAGGCCUAACACAUGCAAGUCGAGCGGAUGAAGGGAGCUUGCUCCUGGAUUCAGCGGCGGACGGGUGAGUAAUGCCUAGGAAUCUGCCUGGUAGUGGGGGAUAACGUCCGGAAACGGGCGCUAAUACCGCAUAAGUCCUGAGGGAGAAAGUGGGGGAUCUUCGGACCUCACGCUAUCAGAUGAGUCUAGGUCGGAUUAGCUAGUUGGUGGGGUAAAGGCCUACCAAGGCGACGAUCCGUAACUGGUCUGAGAGGAUGAUCAGUCACACUGGAACUGAGACACGGUCCAGACUCCUACGGGAGGCAGCAGUGGGGAAUAUUGGACAAUGGGCGAAAGCCUGAUCCAGCCAUGCCGCGUGUGUGAAGAAGGUCUUCGGAUUGUAAAGCACUUUAAGUUGGGAGGAAGGGCAGUAAGUUAAUACCUUGCUGUUUUGACGUUACCAACAGAAUAAGCACCGGCUAACUUCGUG
rnacentral:rRNA from 1 species